rnacentral:rRNA from 1 species
GACGAACGCUGGCGGCGUGCUUAACACAUGCAAGUCGAACGGAAAGGCCCUGCUUUUGUGGGGUGCUCGAGUGGCGAACGGGUGAGUAACACGUGAGUAACCUGCCCUUGACUUUGGGAUAACUUCAGGAAACUGGGGCUAAUACCGGAUAGGAGCUCCUGCUGCAUGGUGGGGGUUGGAAAGUUUCGGCGGUUGGGGAUGGACUCGCGGCUUAUCAGCCUGUUGGUGGGGUAGUGGCUUACCAAGGCUUUGACGGGUAGCCGGCCUGAGAGGGUGACCGGCCACAUUGGGACUGAGAUACGGCCCAGACUCCUACGGGAGGCAGCAGUGGGGAAUAUUGCACAAUGGGCGGAAGCCUGAUGCAGCAACGCCGCGUGCGGGAUGACGGCCUUCGGGUUGUAAACCGAUUUCGCCUGUGACGAAGCGUGAGUGACGGUAAUGGGUAAAGAAGCACCGGCUAACUACGUG